GAUGAACGCUGGCGGCGUGCCUAAUACAUGCAAGUCGAGCGAACAGACGAGGAGCUUGCUCCUCUGACGUUAGCGGCGGACGGGUGAGUAACACGUGGAUAACCUACCUAUAAGACUGGGAUAACUUCGGGAAAACGGAGCUAAUAACGCAUAAUAUAUUCAACCGCAUGGUUCAAUAGUGCAUGACGGUUUUGCUGACACUAAUAGAUGGAUCCGCGCCGCAUUAGCUAGUUGGUAAGGUAACGGCUUACCAAGGCAACGAUGCGUAGCCGACCUGAGAGGGUGAUCGGCCACACUGGAACUGAGACACGGUCCAGACUCCUACGGGAGGCAGCAGUAGGGAAUCUUCCGCAAUGGGCGAAAGCUUGACGGAGCAACGCCGCGUGAGUGAUGAAGGUCUUCGGAUCGUAAAACUCUGUUAUUAGGGAAGAACAAAUGUGUAAGUAACUAUGCACGUCUUGACGGUACCUAAUCAGAAAGCCACGGCUAACUACGUG
rnacentral:rRNA from 1 species